UGAAGUUGUAAAUGAAGUUCUUGUAGGGUAGUGAGUUAGCUAGUGUGUAAAAUAUGAAAAUUUAAUCAUGAAGUCUAGACUUUUAGAUUUGGCAAGCAAUUAUUUCAAUUUAUUUAUUUCUGGAAAAUUGUAGCCUAGUAUAGUACAUUGAAGUUAUAAAUUUGAUUUCGAUAGGAAUAGUUAGUUAAUGUUUAAUCCAUGAUUUGGACAUAGAAAACUUUUAUUUCUGCAAGUUGGCAUCAAUCAUUUGAGUUUUUGUGUUGUAUUAGAAGGGCGUAUAUAUAUAUAAGUAUAUAUAUAUGUAUAAACAAGUAAUGUAUAAUGGAUAGACGAUUUAAAUGGUUUGUUAGCUAUGACGUUGCUAUUGAAGGAGGAUGGGAAUUAAGUUGAUUGAUUGCCCGACGGAUGGGCUGUGUGUAUUGAUUGAUAAAUAUAUAAUAAUACUGUGUUAUCUAAACAGGUAGAU
rnacentral:lncRNA from 1 species